rnacentral:lncRNA from 1 species
AUGAUGCUUACAGAGUUUGGCCCCUCUCUCUUAGUUGCAAUGGACAAAAGACGAACACCACACCCUACCCAUGGCCCUGUGUUUGUUGCAGAGAAUGGAUCUAGCUUGCUGAGGACUUUUUUCCUGUGCACAAGCUCUCACCUGAUAAUCACUCACAGAUUCUGGGCAGUCCUACCCGCUUUCUGCGUGCUUCUUCCAAGCCCCAGGCAAGAGCGGGAAAGUGACUGGAAAUAUGGCAGCCAGCCUGCCGGAACUGAAGCGGCCGUGAAGAUUCUGCUGCGAGGCUUCAUCUUGCUGGGUGCAGGCUGCUGGCUCUUAGAAACAGAUCGCACCAUCAGUGCAGGUGAUAUGAUGGAGGUAAACUACAAGGCUCUAAAGGAAUGCACCAUUAUAAGGCGCUCAUGCAGCCUCAGGCCAUUCUGAUACAAGAACAGAGGAGAGACUUGGUUUGGCCUGGGCCUCUAUGUUGAGGAUGCUCUGGUGCCUGCCAUUUUCCACCAUAUAUUUCCCCAAGAGAAGGAGCUGAGGCACUGACCCUAAGCAAGGAAACAGGGGGUGUUGUUUGCCUUUGUCCUAGGAGACAUUACUUGCUUCCCACAGCUGGCUCACUUAUUUUCUCUCAUUUGGUCUGCACUCUUUCAUGGUUUAUUUUAAGUGAGGCAAACUAGUUUAUUUGUGUAUCUCCUAAAACUGUUUUAUAAGACCACAUGCCCUCUUGAAUUUUGAAAAGAUGAGGUCUUCCUAUCCUUAAACAAUGGCAAAGAAUGUAAUUCUGGCAUGUAGUAAUAUUAAUAAUUUAAAGUCAAAAUGUUAAUGCACACUUUCAUGUGAGUCCAAAGGAGCAGAGAUAUCAUAGCAGUUAUAUAUUCAUGUCAAUCCAAAUUCACAAACACAUGAACAUAGUAAAAAUACCUAGUAUUCCUUUUCUUCCUUGAACCAUAUUUUCAUUCCAUUUCCCCAGUUUUACCCCAUUGUAAGGCAGUUCAUGCUUGAAAAUCUGUUAUUAAUCACCUUAUCACAAUUCUAU